AUUGAACGCUGGCGGCAGGCUUAACACAUGCAAGUCGAACGAGUGGCGGACGGGUGAGUAAUGCUUGGGACUCUGGCUUAUGGAGGGGGAUAACGACGGGAAACUGUCGCUAAUACCGCGUACCAUCGGAUGAGACCAAGUGGGAUUCGGUAGUUGGUGGGGUAAUGGUCUACCAAGCCGACGAUCUCUAGCUGGUCUGAGCGGAUGACCAGCCAAACCGGAACUGAGACACGGCCCGGACUCCUACGGAAGGCAGCAGGGGGGAAUAUUGCGCAAUGGGGGCAACCUGACGCAGCCAUGCCGCGGGAAUGAAGAAGGCCUUCGGGUUGUAAAGUUCUUUCAGUGAGGAGGCGUUAAUCACAGAAGAAGCACCGGCUAACUCCGUGCCAGCAGCCGCGGUAAUUC
rnacentral:rRNA from 1 species